rnacentral:rRNA from 1 species
GAUGAACGCUGGCGGCGUGCCUAAUACAUGCAAGUCGAGCGAACAGACGAGGAGCUUGCUCCUCUGACGUUAGCGGCGGACGGGUGAGUAACACGUGGAUAACCUACCUAUAAGACUGGGAUAACUUCGGGAAACCGGAGCUAAUACCGGAUAAUAUAUUGAACCGCAUGGUUCAAUAGUGAAAGACGGUUUUGCUGUCACUUAUAGAUGGAUCCGCGCCGCAUUAGCUAGUUGGUAAGGUAACGGCUUACCAAGGCAACGAUGCGUAGCCGACCUGAGAGGGUGGUCGGCCACACUGGAACUGAGGCACGGUCCAGACUCCUACGGGGAGCCGCAGUAGGGAAUCUUCCGCAAUGGGCGAAAGCCUGACGGAGCAACGCCGCGUGAGUGAUGAAGGUCUUCGGAUCGUAAAACUCUGUUAUUAGGGAAGAACAAAUGUGUAAGUAACUAUGCACGUCUUGACGGUACCUAAUCAGAAAGCCACGGCUAACUACGUG